GGUCAAGUUAUUAAGGGUGCAGGGCGGAUGCCUUGGCACUAGGAGCCGAUGAAGGACGUGAUAAGCUGCGAUAAGCUUCGGGGAGUUGCACGUAAACUUUGAUCCGAAGAUUUCCGAAUGAGGAAACUCACUUAGAGUAAUGUCUAAGUAUCAUUAAGUGAAUACAUAGCUUAAUGAGGGGAACUCAGGGAACUGAAACAUCUAAGUACCUGAAGGAAGAGAAAGAAAUUCGAUUCCGUAAGUAGCGGCGAGCGAACGCGGAUUAGCCCAAACCAAUAAAGUUUUCUUUAUUGGGGUUGCGGACAUAUCAUAACGAAGAGGUAUCGUAAUUGAAGAGGUUUGGAAAGACCCACCACAG
rnacentral:rRNA from 1 species